rnacentral:lncRNA from 1 species
CUGGAGCGGUUUCAUUGCCUACAUUCCGCAUUGGAAAAUAGAAGCAGGCACAAUGAAGGGAAAAGGCCGAGGCAUCAGCGUGUGAAGACCGCAAAGACGAUCCCGAGUACAGUUGUGAACAGCAUUGCUGCUAGGCUCCUCCUGCAGAUCAUCUGAAAUGAACCUCUCUUAUUGAUUUUUAUUGGCCUAGAGCCAGGAGUACUGCAUUCAGUUGACUUUCAGGGUAAAAAGAAAACAGUCCUGGUUGUUGUCAUCAUAAACAUAUGGACCAGUGUGAUGGUGAAAUGAGAUGAGGCUCCGCAAUGGAACUGUAGCCACUGCUUUAGCAUUUAUCACUUCCUUCCUUACUUUGUCUUGGUAUACUACAUGGCAAAAUGGGAAAGGUAAGGAAAAUGACUCGGAAAAUGUGCAUGAAAUGUACUAGGGUUUUUGCUUGGUUAAGGUGCCUAAAUGCUUAGGUCAAAUACCCUGGCAAUCUGCAUGUUACAUGCUAUCUGCUGGCAGUUUCUUUCUGAUAUAAAAAUG